AGCAGGGAGAUAGGGUUUGGAACGCGAAGAGCACCGCAGUUGCGGCGGUGUCCGGAUCUUCCCCUCGGACCUUGAAAAUCCAGGAGAGGGCCACGUGGAGGUGUCGCGCCGGUUCGUACCCAUAUCUGCAGCAGGUCUCCAAGGUAAAGAGCCUCUAGUCGAUAGACUAAUGUAGGUAAGCGUAGUCGGCAAAUUAGAUCCGUAACUUCGGAAUAAGGAUUGGCUCUGAGGAGCGGGGCGUGUCGGGCUUGGUCGGGAAGCGGGUCUGGCUGACAUGCCGGGCCUGGGCGAGGUGAACGCCCGGCGUUCUCGCGCCGAACACGGGAUCCGACCUCGGUCCCGUGCCUUGGCCUCCCGCGGAUCUUCCUUGCUGCGAGGCUUCCGUGGCGGCGCUAGCCGUCGCGGUCGUUCUCUUCGGCCGCCAUUCAACGCUCAGCUCAGAACUGGCACGGACUAGUGGAAUCCGACUGUUUAAUUAAAACAAAGCAUUGCGAUGGCCCUCGCGGGUGUUGACGCAAUGUGAUUUCUGAAAAGUGCUCUGAAUGUCAUCGUGAAGAAAUUCAAGCAAGCGCGGGUAAACGGCGGGAGUAACUAUGACUGGCUUGAGUAACUAUGACUCUCUUAAGGGGGCCUUCUCAGCUCUUGAUACCCACUCCGGUGAAUUCUUUAGGCUGGGGAUCAAGGUCUCCUGUGCUCACUCUCGGUUUCCAAAUGACACAUCAUUUUUGUGACGCAUAACGGCAAUUCCCAUCAUCUUAACAGAAACACGGACCACGGACGCCACUGGUGUGUUGUUGU
rnacentral:ncRNA from 1 species